rnacentral:rRNA from 1 species
CGUACACUCCUGCGGGAGGCAGCAGUGGGGAAUAUUGGACAAUGGGCGCAAGCCUGAUCCAGCCAUGCCGCGUGAGUGAUGAAGGCCCUAGGGUUGUAAAGCUCUUUCACCGGUGAAGAUAAUGACGGUAACCGGAGAAGAAGCCCCGGCUAACUUCGUGCCAGCAGCCGCGGUAAUACGAAGGGGGCUAGCGUUGUUCGGAUUUACUGGGCGUAAAGCGCACGUAGGCGGACUAUUAAGUCAGGGGUGAAAUCCCGGGGCUCAACCCCGGAACUGCCUUUGAUACUGGUAGUCUUGAGUUCGAGAGAGGGGAGUGGAAUUCCGAGUGUAGAGGUGAAAUUCGUAGAUAUUCGGAGGAACACCAGUGGCGAAGGCGGCUCACUGGCUCGAUACGGACGCUGAGGUGCGAAAGCGUGGGGAGCAAACAGGAUUAGAAACCCUUGUAGUCCCAUG